CGGCCGCGUCGACCGGAAAGGCCCUGCUUGCAGGGUACUCGAGUGGCGAACGGGUGAGUAACACGUGGGUGAUCUGCCCUGCACUUCGGGAUAAGCCUGGGAAACUGGGUCUAAUACCGGAUAGGAGCCAUUUUAGUGUGAUGGUUGGAAAGUUUUUCGGUGUAGGAUGAGCUCGCGGCCUAUCAGCUUGUUGGUGGGGUAAUGGCCUACCAAGGCGGCGACGGGUAGCCGGCCUGAGAGGGUGGACGGCCACAUUGGGACUGAGAUACGGCCCAGACUCCUACGGGAGGCAGCAGUGGGGAAUAUUGCACAAUGGGCGCAAGCCUGAUGCAGCGACGCCGCGUGUAUGAAGAAGGCCUUCGGUUGUAAGUACUUCAGCGGGAGGAAGGCGAUACGGCUAAUAAUCGUGUCGUUUGACGUUACCGCAGAAGAAGCACCGGCUAACUCCGUGCCAG
rnacentral:rRNA from 1 species